rnacentral:tRNA from 1 species
AGAGAUGUAGCUCAGUGGAAGAGUGCUUGCUUAGUGUGCACGAAGCCUUGGGUUCAAUCCCCAGCACUG